rnacentral:rRNA from 1 species
CUUUUGGAGCGGCCGAUGUCUGAUUAGCUAGUUGGUAAGGUAAAGGCUUACCAAGGCGACGAUCAGUAGUUGGUCUGAGAGGACGACCAGCCACACUGGGACUGAGACACGGCCCAGACUCCUACGGGAGGCAGCAGUGGGGAAUUUUGGACAAUGGGCGAAAGCCUGAUCCAGCAAUGCCGCGUGAGUGAAGAAGGCCUUCGGGUUGUAAAGCUCUUUCAGUCGAGAAGAAAAGAUUGUGACUAAUAAUCAUGAUUUAUGACGGUAUCGGCAGAAGAAGCACCGGCUAACUACGUGCCAGCAGCCGCGGUAAUACGUAGGGUGCAAGCGUUAAUCGGAAUUACUGGGCGUAAAGGGUGCGCAGGCGGCUCUGCAAGUCAGAUGUGAAAUCCCCGGGCUUAACCUGGGAACUGCGUUUGAAACUACAAGGCUAGA